GUCCCAGGCAGGCAAUCACCCCUCAAGUGUCACACAUUGUCCCCUAAGUUCUGCCAGCUCGUGGCCUUGCCUGGUGUCCUCCAUGGGAUGCCGCACACCGAAGACAUGUGGCUCCAAUGGGGUGCCCCACAUGGGAUGUCACAUGCAGUUCCCAACACCUCCAGCCCACUGUCACCAUGCGCUUUGGGCACCACACUCUGUCCUCUGUGCUUUGCUCUGUCACCCCCACUGGGGAAGCAGCAGGGAACUGAUGGGGACACGGGGACACCUGCACUCCCCAGGAGUCCUGCCUGGGAGUCCUGAGAUCCCCAUGAAGCCUGUCUGGGAGUUCUAUUCCUCGGUUCUGGGGUGCCCAUGAGGUCAGGGAUAUGUUUACGGUUUAGAAAUCUGUGGAGGACUUAGAUCUGGGGUCCUCAGGGGGCAGACAUUGCUGGUCAUUUUGGGUGGGGUUCAGGGGUCCUAUCACUUGUUUUGCUGUCCCCUUGGGACUGGGCGGUGUUUAGGGCUUGUAGGGACCCAGGGCUUAUGGGGGCUGAGAUUCUGAAUCUGAGACUCCUCACAAAGAUGAUUUGGGUUUCCCCAUGGUCUGGAUUUGGGGGUGCACAUAAAGGUAAGGUGGGACAUAUGGGGGGAUGGAUCUUCUGGGCAGGGUUUGGGGGUCCCCACUGGAAUUUGUGGGAGCUCUGUGGGACACUUGGGGAAUGUGUGGAGGAUCAAAGGGCAUUCAGAAGGCACAUGGAGGGAUCUACAGGAAAUCCGUAGGCAAUGGAAGGGGAGGCAGGAUCAAUAAGAGGGCAAAAGAUUGGACUCCUUCACACCAGAGCUCUCAUCUCUCAGUAUCCAGAAGCUCCUGGUAUCCAGGAUGAAGAAGAGGCUGAGGAAGAGGCUGAGGGCAGCAGCACAGCCCCUCACCACUGUCACCACCAAGUUACCAUGGGAUCUCUUACUGGGAGCCAUGGGAUUCAGGUGUUUGUGUGUCCCCAUCCCUGGCCAUGACCUCCAUGGGAACGGGGUGCAAUGAAACUGCCAUCCAUGGGUGACACCGGGGACAUCCAGGCAAAUUUUGGCUAUGGCUGCUAUGGAAGAUGAGUAAAAGAGGAUUGGGAGAAAAAAAGGAAGAGAGAGAAAAAGGAAGAUAAGAGAGAAGCAGAGAAAGAACGUGAGAAAGAGAAUCGGAGGGAGAAAAGAGAUCACGGUCCGUUUCGAGGUGUUCCAGCACUGGGCCGUGGGUGCUGGAGGAGAGGGGGGAGAUGAGGGCUCUGAACCAAUGGCUGAAGUCUCAAACUGGAAAAAAGGAGACAGCAAAAAAUGCAGCUUCUGUGGGCAUCCCUUUGUCUGCUGGUUGGCAGCUGCAGCAUCGCAAGGUUGUAAAGAAGUGAGUUCACAAGGACACGCUUGUUAAAAAAUGUUUGCACUAAGAAGUUUCUUGUGAGAAAGUCGUGCCAUUUGUGGACACAGCAAGGCUGUACUGGUACAUCACAGAAUCUCAUGCUUUGCAGCUCUGUUGUCAUGGCUACAGCCUUGUCUUCCAAGUGUUUGAUGCCUACAAAGCUCACCACAGAAGGUCAGAAAAAGUGUUUCCUCGGUCAAUGACCCUUGUGUGGAGCGCAGAGUGUCCGUGUGAGGAGAUCCCGUAGUGUGGUAACCUGGAAUGCAAGAGCAAUGGCACUGCUGAGCACAAGGAGCACGUUGCAUCCAUGGCUGCUGUCACACGAGCACACGCUGCAGACAAAUGGGCGGAACUAUCCCAGGGCAGCGCUCAGAAGAGCAGGCUUUCCCAAAAUGUGGCUGUUCACAGCAAAAAGUCCGCCUGCUGCUCACUGAUCAACAGGGGCAAGGACACUCAGACACCGGGAUCCCACUGGUGCCGAGGAAUAUUCCUGCCUGAACUUGGAGGUGCAGUGGGUGAGGGACUUUGUCUUUGGCCUCGGUCUCUUCUUGGUUCUUGGUGCCUGGCUUCUCUGGAUACAGAAAGAUGAGCGCCUUGAUGAGGAUGAGCUUGAAUGGAUUCAGUCCCCUCUAGAUCUCCCAAGCGUAUUCUGCCUCCACUUCAACUCCACGUAAAUCCCAGUAUCCUUCCCCUGCGUCCAUUUCCACCCUCAAAUCCUUUCUUAUUCUACACACAUCCCUUUACAUUUGCUGAAACCCAAAUCCUUUCCAAUCCACUACAAACCCCCACCACCCUUCCUGGAUGACCCAAAAUCCUUCCCAAUCCACCCAUCCCCUACAGAUUCCAAGAAGGGUUCCCUACCUCCCCUCCUGUCCUGGUUUCAGCACUGCUUGAAGGGUGGUGAGCAACUGCUUCGUGGAACACUUACUUUGUGUAAAUAUAUAUAUAUGUUAUUAUCACUACUGCUAUUUCUCUCUUACAUUUUCUCACUCAGUAAAUAGUUUUGAUCUCA